CUGACUGCUAUCGGAUUGAUACUAAGCCAUGCGAGUCAUUGUAGCAAUACAAGGCAGACGGCUCAGUAACGCGUAGUCAACCUAACCUAUGGACGGGAAUAACCUCGGGAAACUGAGAAUAAUGCCCGAUAGAACACUAUAUCUGGAAUGGUUUGUGUUCCAAAUGAUUUAUCGCCGUAGGAUGGGACUGCGGCCUAUCAGUUUGUUGGUGAGGUAAUGGCCCACCAAGACUAUUACAGGUACGGGCUCUGAGAGGAGUAGCCCGGAGAUGGGUACUGAGACACGGACCCAGGCCCUAUGGGGCGCAGCAGGCGAGAAAACUUUGCAAUGUGCGAAAGCACGACAAGGUUAAUCCGAGUGGUUUGUGCUAAACAGACCUUUUGUUAGUCCUAGAAACACUAACGAAUAAGGGGUGGGCAAGUUCUGGUGUCAGCCGCCGCGGUAAAACCAGCACCUCAAGUGGUCAGGAUGAUUAUUGGGCCUAAAGCAUCCGUAGCCGGCUCUGUAAGUUUUCGGUUAAAUCUGUAUGCUCAACAUACAGGCUGCCGGGAAUACUGCAGAGCUAGGGAGUGGGAGAGGUAGACGGUACUCGGUAGGAAGGGGUAAAAUCCUUUGAUCUAUUGAUGACCACCUGUGGCGAAGGCGGUCUACCAGAACACGUCCGACGGUGAGGGAUGAAAGCUGGGGGAGCAAACCGGAUUAGAUACCCGGGUAGUCCCAGCUGUAAACUAUGCAAACUCAGUGAUGCAUUGGCUUGUGGCCAAUGCAGUGCUGCAGGGAAGCCGUUAAGUUUGCCGCCUGGGAAGUACGUACGCAAGUAUGAAACUUAAAGGAAUUGGCGGGGGAGCACCACAAGGGGUGAAGCCUGCGGUUC
rnacentral:rRNA from 1 species